AUUGGACGCUGGCGGCAGGCCUAACACAUGCAAGUCGAGCGGAUGAAGGGAGCUUGCUCCUGGAUUCAGCGGCGGACGGGUGAGUAAUGCCUAGGAAUCUGCCUGGUAGUGGGGGAUAACGUCCGGAAACGGGCGCUAAUACCGCAUACGUCCUGAGGGAGAAAGUGGGGGAUCUUCGGACCUCACGCUAUCAGAUGAGCCUAGGUCGGAUUAGCUAGUUGGUGGGGUAAAGGCCUACCAAGGCGACGAUCCGUAACUGGUCUGAGAGGAUGAUCAGUCACACUGGAACUGAGACACGGUCCAGACUCCUACGGAAGGCAGCAGUGGGGAAUAUUGGACAAUGGGCGAAAGCCUGAUCCAGCCAUGCCGCGUGUGUGAAGAAGGUCUUCGGAUUGUAAAGCACUUUAAGUUGGGAGGAAGAGCAGUAAGUUAAUACCUUACUGUUUUGACGUUACCAACAGAAUAAGCACCGGCUAACUUCGUG
rnacentral:rRNA from 1 species